GGCGGCAUAGCCAAGUGGUAAGGCUGCGGCUCGCAAAGCCGUAUGGACUGGUUCGACUCCAGUUGCCGCCU
rnacentral:tRNA from 1 species